AUUUAUAGUAUUUGAUCUUGCCAAAAACGCAUCUAUGAGGUAUUGUCAGAUUUGUUUGGUACCCUGUCAGUUUAAGAUUCGACGCAGAUUCGACAGGUACGCCACCUUUCGAAAUACUUGUGAAAUGCACCGCUUGGCGUUUCGAAUCACUUCAUCACGUGACAUGGGUGUUUCGAAUCACAUUUCGGAGCAGUGUUUCGAAACAUUUACGCUUCGGGAUCUCGACACAGUGUCGAAACGUCAGUUUCGCGGGAGCCAUCCCUAUUGACACGAAGGCUCCGAAAUAAACGUUGCCAGAAUUGUCCACACUGAGUAUUGCAAUAAUUAGCUAGAAGGCUAAAAGCUAACGUACUUUGAACUUAUACAUGGUAUAAAGUAUGUUUAAGGAUACAGUCAAAGUAACUUAUUAAUGUAGCCUCUUGAAAGUCUCUUUCAGAAAGUAAAUUAUCUGAAAAAUAAAAGUUAUUUGGCAUUAAUGGAAUUACAAUGAUUUGAUUUCAUUGCACAUGCAAAAUAUUAAAUACUGUUUUGCAUUAAAAGUUUAGCAGAAGUGUUUGUUUGAUUAACUUCCUUUGCUUUUGUUUUGUACAAAGGAAAAGCAGAACCUCGUCCAAAUAAAAAUAAACAAGCUGUUAAAGGCACUGUGUCCUACACAGACCCUCCAAAAUAUAACCACCCAAAACCCAAGUCAGUUGAAGGUCAACACAAACCAAAUAAAGAUGUGCAUUCUACAAACAAUAAAAAAAGAUCAAGUUUUGUGUCCACCACACUUAGAUGAGGCGUGCCCGACCCCUGACUUUGUCUACCCUACAUUAAGUUGCACACUUCAUGACAGUAAACAUCGGUAUCACAAUGGUGUGAUUGAUCUAUACCCUAGAAUAAGCUGUGACACUAUGAGACGUGAGGUAACACAACGAAAAAAUUACCGGAUGGAGACUACCUGAUUCUUCACCUAUGGCCUCAGCUUCAAAUGCAACAUGUCCAGCAACUGUCUGAGUUGGUGGAUAUUCUGUCAGAGACUGCGUGAACAACGUUAUGAACAGAAUGAUGUCUAAUUGUCUUAUGGCAAAGUUCAAUAUGAGGGGUGGUGGACAUCUGGAAAAGAAGUCUUUUAAAGGCACACCUUUGUAUUAUGUUAUUCAAGAUGCUGUGAAGAGGUGGAGCCCAAAUGCCACAGACUCGGAAAUAGAUGCAGCUAUGGCAGACCACCUCAAGCACGCUCCAGGAAGAGCUGGGGGUGGUGGAUACAAAAAAGCCAAACAGCUGUGAUGUGUUAAAGAGAGAGUUCACCAAAAAAGGAAAAUUGUUAUAAUUUUCUUAUCCACAUGUUUCAAACCUGUAUACCUUUAUAUUUUCUGCUGAACACAAAGAUUGAAGAAUGUUUGUAACUUCACAACCAAUUAACUGUCAAUAUUUUUUUUACAAUUGUAGUAAUGGGUUGUGGGAUCUGCUUUGUUAAAAACAUUCUUUCACAUAUCUUUGUGUUCAGCAGAACAUAGAAGGGUAUACAGGUUUGAAACAUGAGAGGGAAUAAAUGACUAAAUAUUAAUUUUUGGGUGAACUAUCCCUUUAUAGAAAGUGUUUUGAAGUUGUUAUUAUAGUUAAAUGGUUAAAAAAAUAAAAAGUGCUAAAUCAGAA